rnacentral:lncRNA from 1 species
AAAAAAGAGAGAUGGAAUAGAGAUUAAGUAGAGAUGGAUGUUGUUCUCGACAUAAUACCUUUUAGAGAUAACAUAGAGAGGGAUAAUGGAUAAAUCCGUGAUACGUGUAGCGAUAACAUUGUGACAGAUUAUAUGUUCCGAAUAGUUUCCCUUUAGUGACUGAAUAACGAUCGAUUAUCAAUGGAUUUGUAUUUUUAAUCUGCAACAGGGACGGACU